UCCAGCUUGUUAAAAAGUAUGAAACUCGACUUCAGAAUAUCAGAAACGGGGGCCACUUCUAUAAUUUAAAUCCACUUUCGGCACAUCAUUGGGCCAGAGAUUUUCAUCAUCUCGACGGUUCCCCGGGCUUUGACGGCGGACGAGGCGGCAGCAACGCGCGGCGCCUCCGUCGUGGUCUCGUGCUGCCGGUUUCCGCCAAUUAACGUUGGCGGUGCAGGACGCGGUUGCACGUGAGCGUGCGCGCAACCCACCUGCCCGCGUCUCUGCGAAACCUCGGCGAAAUCAAACAUAACCCUGGCACUUACAGUGGGUAGCUCUCACCUCUGACAGAAGUCGGGAUGUCUCCAGCCUCUGUCUUUAAUCAUCCUAGGACAAUUUGGGAGUUGAGGAUGAUUGCGGUGACUGAAGACACGGGGGCUUUUGGUGCUUCCACGCCCCCCUCCCUGCAUCCCCCCCCCCCAGCUCACACACCGGGCCACCUGUAAGCUGCCACUGUCGUCGUUGUUGCCACCACGACUCGGCUGCUUAGGGGCAGGAACGCGCGAUGGGGUGCUGGAGCCGGCAUGAGGACCCGCAUCCUCUCCCAACCGUGCCACGAGGCGGCUGUCUGGCUUGAAGAAUCUUUAGAGGAUGCUUGGAAGUCAGCUGAGAUUGUUGUAAGGAGAAAAAAACACACAAAAAAGGAGCCUGAGGCAUUUCCAUGGUUGGCAUCUGUUUCUCCUCCACCAGAGCUGCUGGCGCUGAGUUAAUAACCGUGUUUGGGACUGGAGGGAGCGGGACUACCAUGACUGAUUUCUCCAGCCUCCCCAUCAAUCCCAGUUCACCCCUUUCCCUCCAGAUGAGGCUCCACACCUUCCAUCCAACGCCAGCAGGUACAUCCACGGUCCCUGCACUUACCCGGGGUCUGCCCAGACUUGCCAGCAUGGUUCAUCUGGCGCUGCCUGCCCCCCCUACCCUAAACGUUUGCCGCCUUCUGCAGCUAUGUGAUAUUAGGUUACCACAUCAGCACUGGCGAAUCAGUCAUUUUGUAAACAGUCUAGGGGGCUCGUUGGAGGCCUUGUCUGGCGCAAUCCACCGCUAUAACCUCGUGAAAACAUGCAUGUCCUGCCAGUGUUGCCAGGGAACAGCGGAUUCUCCCCCGACCUCUGGGUUAAGUGUCCCGCUGACCCCUGGAGCUCCUCUAAAGCCGAAGGGCAGCACAGCAAAACCGUAAGUGCUUCUUCUAACCCCCUCAAAAAAAAACCCCCACGUUUACCCCCGUGCUCAUCCCCUCUCAAACCAGGCCAGUCACAUCCAUCCACCGAUCCGACAGGUUCUCAGGGCCUGGCAUUCUUCGAUCCCAUAGUGCCGGGUGGGGGGCUGGGGUGGGGGGGGUGCUUACAGUGCUUUUAAUUGUCUUUUCCCAGCAAUGGAAUUGAGCACGGCAGUUUCAUCAAUACUGUGAUCAAUUCAGAAUGAAUAAAUUGUUUUACAGGACUAAGAGUAUGCAGAAACCGUUUCCACACCCCAAUUAAGAGUCGUCCCCCAACCACUAUGAUUGCCUGCCGGUCGGGGAAUUGAUUAAAUAUAACAUGUUCUCUGUUGUUGUUGUUUGUAAUUGUGUUAUCUGACUUUCUACUGAUCAUACAAACAUAUAUGGGGGGCAAUUAUUAUAAAGACAGGAAUAAGAGUUGUAUAUAGGAUCACUGUCACGUGACGUGGGUAUUUACAUAGGAUAUUCUGAAGGCCAAUGUCAUUUUUUGUCUUUAUAAUUUAUAUCGUUUGCACUAAAUCAUUUGCAGCUAAAAGGAGGCUCCUCCAUCGCUUUAGUUUAAAUGUUAGCAAAUUGUUAUUGCUGCCAUUUCCAGAAGCUCGAUCUAGAUGAUGCUGUGGGUUCCUUCCACAGAUUAAUUAGUCGUAUAUGACCCCAGAGAAACAGUAUGGAUAUGUUAUUAGGGGAGAGUAAAAGGAACACCUAAAGACGAAUUAUACACCGGCUGAUAAAUGAACUAAUGUCCUGUUGAUUAAACGUCUAAAAUGCAA